rnacentral:rRNA from 1 species
GCCCGGGGCUUGCCCCGGUCACCUUAGUGGCGGACGGGUGAGUAACGCGUGGGAGCCUGCCCAGGAGCGGGGAAUAACCUCGGGAAACUGAGGCUAAUACCGCAUACGCCCUCUGGGGGAAAGGCUUCGGCCACUCUUGGAUGGUCCCGCGUCUGAUUAGCUUGUUGGUGAGGUAACGGCUCACCAAGGCGACGAUCAGUAGCUGGUCUGAGAGGAUGGCCAGUCACACUGGGACUGAGACACGGCCCAGACUCCUACGGGAGGCAGCAGUGGGGAAUAUUGGACAAUGGGGGAAACCCUGAUCCAGCAAUGCCGCGUGAGUGAAGAAGGCCCUAGGGUUGUAAAACUCUUUCAGUCGUGACGAUGAUGACGGUAGCGACAGAAGAAGCCCCGGCUAACUCCGUGCCAGCAGCCGCGGUAAUACGGAGGGGGCUAGCGUUGUUCGGAAUUACUGGGCGUAAAGCGCACGUAGGCGGUACAUCAAGUUAGGCGUGAAAGCCCUGGGCUCAACCCAGGAACUGCGCUUAUUACUGAUGAACUAGAGAGCGGGAGAGGGUAGCGGAAUUCCCAGUGUAGAGGUGAAAUUCGUAGAUAUUGGGAAGAACACCAGUUGCGAAGGCGGCUACCUGGCCCGGUACUGAC